GUUCAUUAAUUUCUCGAAAUUGACUCGUUUCAGAAGCCAGGAGCAAGAUUUCUCAAGAGCGAAGGCCAGCUUCCCUAGAAGGCUGAGUGUGAAACAACCACGUGUGCUCUUACCUCCUAAAUUCCGAUCUUUCGUUAUGGUAUCCUUGAAACGGCAAAAGUAUCCUUGAACGGUUCACCAAUGCACUGGAAAGUGGGAUAGAAGGGAGAGGACUGUCUCCGAGGAAAUGUUAUCGAUACUUAUUGAGAAGGCGUAACACACACUGGAAGAUCGUGGUACCACGGAUCGUGGUUGGAAAAGAGUCGGUUGAUCGAGUUGAAGACGCGCGCGAAGAUGGAUCCACGAUCGAACGGGCGUAAGAUACGAUCUAUCGUAGCCUGAGGCCGAGUUAGGACUGUGGACUCUGACAGACCACGGGCGAGAGAACGUAGCCAGCGAGCAGGGCUGCCAACUCUGGCCUCGCUCUCUCGCGGACCCCACCACGCGAUGCACGCUCUUGGUAGCGAUAGGUGUAGCGCGAUCUGUCUCGAAGGGAACCGGUGAAAUCGUACCGGGGGAACCGCCGAUCUCUUAUGAGGGCGCUUGGAAGAACUUCUCCGUUCGAGGGAAGACAAAUCAAAAGGAAAUCUAAUAUCGUCGAAAUUGCACUAGUUGUCCAUGGCGGUUGUUAUAGAUAUGCCUUGCGUAACAGUUUAUUGUAGACGUCGAAAACAUAAAGACAAAAGCUAACCUCAUUGCGAAUCGUAUUACGAAUAAUGUAAAGUUACGAACAAUAUGAUUACAUCAUUCAUGACGUACAGUUGAUUUGAAUAAUUGGCACCGAAUCUUUAAAUUGGAAAUAUGCAGUUCGAUAAAAUGGUCCACGCAAAGAUAUUACGUUACGCCCACGCAGUAAACGGCGUUAACACGAGAAUGUUAAGAGUUAAUGGACCAACUUCCCGGACACGACGAGUUUCAACGGCCGUAGCGAAUCCUCUGGCAAUGACAUUGACAAAACUGCCAUUUCUCGCCGAUCAAAGAGAUAUAUCUAUUUUUAUUCAAGUAAUCACAUUAUUGUAAAAUGUUUAAUCUCAAAGAUAUUAAACAAUUUUUACA